AUGAAAGUUCUCGAGGACCCAGCACUCCUGGGUUGAUCCCCAUCCCUCCUGGUUCCCCCUCAGCCUAGCCACCUAGUUUCAGAUGGAAUAGAAACGUUCCAAUCUAAAAAAGAACCUUCUUCUUACCUUGAUGCCCCCCUUCCACAGCCCCUAUCUCUGCCAGUUUUCAGGUAUAAUAGAUGCACAUUGAAUUGGGGGGUGGUUAGUUCUACAUUGUGAGUUCACAUAAAUUGGAUUCUUGUAUAGGCAAUGGAAUGCUAUGGAUAUCAAGUGAUACUGACCCUUGUGCUUGGUAAUGUCUAGAGGCAGCUUUACACUAACCAUCUUUUUAUGAUACAGGCAGAAUCUGUGAACAGCAAAAGUCUCUGUGCUGCUGUUGACCCUGAUAUCCCCAGAAGGGAUAAUGCAGGUGCCAGAACUCCACUGAGGCAGAUAUUGGACUUUCAGUUCCCAGUGUCCUAGACAUGAAGUGUGAUGCCAUCCACCUCAGCAUGCCGUCAUUCCCCAUGGCUAUCAUCAAAGAGCAGUUGGGACAGACCCCUCUCCAUCUACUAAGAACAUUUGGCAAAGGAGGAAACAGUGACACUCCUGCUUCCGCUGUGUGAUGUUGUGGUUAAGUGCAGGGCUGUGGUGUUAGACUACCUGGGAUCAAAUUACAGCUCCACAAAAUAGCCACUGGUGUGACUUUGGGU